GUGGAUUCAAUUAUGUUUCGUUGGAAGCGCGGAAUUGACGAGGGAAGGUACAGCAAGACCAUGAAAGAUCAAGGAUAAAGCCAACUAAGCUACGCAUGUACAGGGCAAGAUCGUGUCGUCAUCCCCCUCCAUCUCUCUCUCUCUCUCUCUCGAUCUAUCUACGUCUGUGAGCUUUCCAAUGGGGCUGAUAUCACGAAAUGUUGACGUUAACGCUACCGUUCUUGUCGCACGUGCAGACGGGACAAGAGGCCACGGCGGGGCCGCAGGCUGCGCAGAGGCAGAGGUGCCGGCACGGCAGCAGCAGCACCGAGGGCUCGGCCGCCCCGCACAACCGGCACAGCCUCCUCCCCGCCGCCGGCACGGCGCCGCCGAAGUUGUCGCACCAGGACUCCGCAUCAUCUCCCGCCGUCUCUCCCUGUGCG
rnacentral:lncRNA from 1 species